GCAGGUGUUGUUCCACAGCUGCGGGUCAUCAGCACUAAUCAGGAGGAGCAUAAAGAGAAGUAGCGUCCCUGAGGCUGAUACAUCACCUCUUGUUCUGGCUCAAGAUGCCUUCACUGAUCUCCUCGUACUUCCACCUGAGGACUGCAAAAGUGAUAACUUGGGAUGUGGCUAAGUGUACCGGCAUGCUGCUUCUCUGGCUGCUCUCCUGUUGUCCACUGUUGGAUGUUCCAAGGGUAUCUCUCGCUCACCUGCCUGUCUGCCCUCCCAUGCUCUCUGUCCAACAAAGGACACCAGCAAGAAUCAAACCACACAGCAGCCACCCUCCAACAGCAACGUACUCUGUCUCAGAUGAUAACAUCAAAACCUCCAGCUCAUUUCCACUCAUCAUUAACAAACCCACCACUGAUGACCUUGAUGAUUUCAUCUUGACACAAUCAGAUUAUG